rnacentral:rRNA from 1 species
GACGAACGCUGGCGGCGUGCUUAACACAUGCAAGUCGAACGGAAAGGCCCUGCUUUUGUGGGGUGCUCGAGUGGCGAACGGGUGAGUAACACGUGAGUAACCUGCCCUCGACUUUGGGAUAACUUCAGGAAACUGGGGCUAAUACCGGAUAGGAGCUCCUGCUGCAUGGUGGGGGUUGGAAAGUUUCGGCGGUUGGGGAUGGACUCGCGGCUUAUCAGCUUGUUGGUGGGGUAGUGGCUUACCAAGGCUUUGACGGGUAGCCGGCCUGAGAGGGUGACCGGCCACAUUGGGACUGAGAUACGGCCCAGACUCCUACGGGAGGCAGCAGUGGGGAAUAUUGCACAAUGGGCGGAAGCCUGAUGCAGCAACGCCGCGUGCGGGAUGACGGCCUUCGGGUUGUAAACCGCUUUCGCCUGUGACGAAGCGUGGGUGACGGUAAUGGGUAAAGAAGCACCGGCUAACUACGUG